rnacentral:lncRNA from 1 species
GCAACAAUAGAUCUUUACAACCCACUUCAGAGUAUAUUGUGGUUCAGCCAGCAUUUGCUAUGCUCAAGGAAUUUCUAAUUUACUCACAGACCUAAGCACCAAGGAAAGGAAAAGCUAAAAUGCAAAAGUGGCAUUCCCAACAGAGAACUGUUUUGACCAAGGCAACUGUGAGCAAAUUAGGAUAGAAGAGGUUAUCAAGAGACAAGGCCAGGAAUGGUGCUUCACAUUUGCUGCUCGGCUGCUGCAAGGGACCAGGAAGCAAUAACUUAGAAAAAAGCAACACACACAAAACUGCUUCCGCCACUGCCACCCAUCAAGGAAUGACAGUUUUAAAAAAGUGAAGAAACACAGCUUGGAGCAGUCCUCCCCCAACUUCCCCCAAGUACCAAGAUAUAAAGCCAUUUAGAAUGUAGAGAUUUGCCUUUAUUUCACCCUCUUCCCAACUGGUUGAGAACGGAAGGUGCAAGUGUGAAAUUGCUGUUUUUGUUUGAGAGAAUGUUCAUCUUUAGCAUCUCUUGUCAACUGAAAAUACCA